CGGGGUGAGUAACGCGUGAGGAACCUGCCUUGAAGAGGGGGACAACAGUUGGAAACGACUGCUAAUACCGCAUAAGCAUAGGGGUCGGCAUCGAGCAGAGGGAAAAGGAGUGAUCCGCUUUGAGAUGGCCUCGCGUCCGAUUAGCUGGUUGGUGAGGUAACGGCCCACCAAGGCGACGAUCGGUAGCCGGACUGGGAGGUUGAACGGCCACAUUGGGACUGAGACACGGCCCAG
rnacentral:rRNA from 1 species